AGGAUGAACGUUGGCGGCGUGCCUAACACAUGCAAGUCGAACGGUAGUCGCAAGACUACAGUGGCGCACGGGUGAGUAACACGUAGCUUACCUCCCUCUCAGCGCGGGAUAACGGCUCGAAAGAGCUGCUAAUACCGCAUAAGCUCACGGGUUCUAGAGGCUUGUGAGAAAAGGCUUCGGUCACUGAGAGACGGGGCUGCGGCCCAUCAGCUAGUUGGCGUGGUAACGGCACACCAAGGCGACGACGGGUAGGGACCUGAGAGGGUGACCCCCCACACUGGGACUGAGACACGGCCCAGACUCCUACGGGAGGCAGCAGUGAGGAAUAUGCACAAUGGGCGCAAGCCUGAUGCAGCGACGCCGCGUGGUGAUGAAGGUCUUCGGAUCGUAAAGCCCUUUUCUGCGUGACGAGACAGGACGUAGCGCAGGAAUAAGUCUCGGCUAACUACGUGCCAGCAGCCGC
rnacentral:rRNA from 1 species